rnacentral:rRNA from 1 species
UACAGAGGGUGCGAGCGUUAAUCGGAAUUACUGGGCGUAAAGCGUGCGUAGACGGUUAUUUAAGUCGGAUGUGAAAGCCCCGGGCUCAACCUGGGAAUUGCAUUCGAGACUGAAUAGCUAGGGUACGGUAGAGGGAAGUGGAAUUUCCGGUGUAGCGGUGAAAUGCGUAGAUAGUCGGAAGGAACAUCAGUGGCGAAAGCGACUUCCUGGACCAGUACCGACGU